ACCCGGCUAAUUUUUUUGUAUUUUUAGUAGAGAUGGGGUUUCACUGCGUUAGCCAGGAUGGUCUCGAUCUCCUGAUCUCAUGAUCUGCCUGCCUCGGCCUCUCAAAGUGCUGGGAUUACAGGCGUGAACCACUGCGCCUGGCUGAUUUUGUUUUUCUCUAUUGCUUUUCAAUUCUCUAUAUUAUUUAUCUCCACUUUCAUUUCUAUUAUUUCUUCCCCUGCUUGCUUUAAGUUUAGUUUGCUCCUCUUCCAUUGUCUUAAGGUGGAAGGUUAGGUUAUUGAUUUGCAGCCUUUCUUCUUUUUUAAUAUAGGUAUUUAUAACUAUAAAUUUCCCUCUAAGCACUGCUGUAUCUGUAUCUCAUAAGUUUUGGUAUAUUAUUCUUCAUUCAUUCAUCUCAAAAUAUUUUUAAAUUUCCCUUGUGAUUUUACCCUUUAGUAAUUUAGGAGUAUGACUAACUUCCACAUAUUUGUGAACUUUCCAAAUUUAUUUCUGUUUUUGAUCUAAAAUUUUAUUCCAUUGUGGUUGGAAAACAAAAUUUAUAUGAUUUCAAUACCCGUGUAUUUAUUAAGGCUUGUUUUGUGGCCUAGCAUAUACUCUAUCCUAGAGUAUGUUCCAUGAGCACUUGAGAAAAAUGUGUAUUCUCCUACUGUAGGGUAGAGUGUUUUAUGGAUUUCUGUUAUAUCUAGGUGAUUUAUACUGUUGUUCAAGUCUUCUAUUUACUUGUUGAUAUUCUGCCUAGUGUUGUUUUUUUAACUGAAAGUAGGGUAAUGGCGUCAUUAUUGAAAGUGGGGUAUUGGAGUCUCCAAUUAUUAUUGUCCAAUUGUCUAUUUCCUUUUUCAUUUCUAUUAGUUUUUAUUUGAUGUAUUUUGUGGCUCAGUUGUUAAGUUCGUAUAUCUUUAUAAAUGUUAUAUCUUCCUGAUGGAUUAUUCCUUUUAUCAUUAUAAAUAUUUCUUACUCUCUAGUAACAUUUUUGUUGUAAAGUCUACUUUGUCUGAUAUUACUAUAGCCACUUUUAGCUUUCUCAUAGUUGCUUUUUUGCAUGAUGUAUCUUUUGCCACUCUUUUACUUUCAAUCUAAUUGUGUCUGAAUCUAAAGUUUAUCUCCUGCAGAAAGAACAUAGCUGGAAUUUAUUUUUUAAAUCCAGCCUGACGGUCUGCUUUUUGAUUGGAUUGUUUAAUUUAUUCAUAUUUAAUGCUAUCAUUAUAGUUGGACUUAUGUCUACCAUUUCUCAUCUAUUUUCUGUAUUUCUUAUGCAUUUUUCUUUUGUUCUUUCUUUUCAGCUGUCUUUUAUAUCAAAUGAAUAAUUUCUAGUAUGAUUUUUUAAUUUCUGUAAUCUUUUUCACUGUAUUAUAAACAUUUAUUCUACUAGUGGUUGCUCUAGGACUUCCCAAACACAUAUUAAUGUAUCACAGUCUACUUCAGAAUUAUACGUAUGUUUAGUGAGAUAUAGAAAUGUUAUUCUAUAUAGCUAUAUUUUUGCUUUCCAUUUUUGUGCUAUUAUUGUUAUGCAUAUUACAUCUAUAUGUUACAAAUACAACAGAAU
rnacentral:lncRNA from 1 species